rnacentral:rRNA from 1 species
GCUUUGAAGUGUGGACGCCAGUCUGCAUGGAGCCGACCUUGAAAUACCACCCUUUAAUGUUUGAUGUUCUAACGUGGACCCGUUACCCGGGUUGCGGACAGUGUCUGGUGGGUAGUUUGACUGGGGCGGUCUCCUCCUAAAGAGUAACGGAGGAGCACGAAGGUUGGCUAAUCCUGGUCGGACAUCAGGAGGUUAGUGCAAUGGCAUAAGCCAGCUUGACUGCGAGCGUGACGGCGCGAGCAGGUGCGAAAGCAGGUCAUAGUGAUCCGGUGGUUCUGAAUGGAAGGGCCAUCGCUCAACGGAUAAAAGGUACUCCGGGGAUAACAGGCUGAUACCGCCCAAGAGUUCAUAUCGACGGCGGUGUUUGGCACCUCGAUGUCGGCUCAUCACAUCCUGGGGCUGAAGUAGGUCCCAAGGGUAUGGCUGUUCGCCAUUUAAAGUGGUACGCGAGCUGGGUUUAGAACGUCGUGAGACAGUUCGGUCCCUAUCUGCCGUGGGCGCUGGAGAACUGAGGGGGGCUGCUCCUAGUACGAGAGGACCGGAGUGGACGCAUCACUGGUGUUCGGGUUGUCAUGCCAAUGGCACUGCCCGGUAGCUAAAUGCGGAAGAGAUAAGUGCUGAAAGCAUCUAAGCACGAAACUUGCCCCGAG